UGGACACCAUCAAACGCUAUUCAUAUAAGCCUGCUGAUUGGAGCAGGAGUAUCUACGUGAUGGCCGAAACCAUCUACACUAUGAGUAGUAUCCUUUUUUUG
rnacentral:ncRNA from 2 species